GCUCAUUAAUUAAUUUAUAAUUCCUAUUAUAACACAGAGAUUUUUAGUUCCUUAUACACGAAUUCAAGACUGUGUUAUUCUUCGGAGCUCGCCGGAGUUCAUCUAUUGGUGGUGGAAUUGUCUCCAGUAGCUCGAGUUUUUAGGUCGCUGCCCAGAGAAAGGACUCUACAAGAUGCGUUUAAUUCGAGUUGGUUGGAACUCUACAAAUUGUGUUCAACUCAGAUAAAAAUUUUUGGAGGCUACUCAACCCUAAACCCUAGUUUAUGCCGGUUACUAAAUUCCCUUAAAAUGCAUCUCAAAAGAUUCCCAAAGAGAUCAAGAUCUCGAAUACUCCACAAAUUGAUGGAUUAUUCAUAUAGAGAGGUCAAAUCUAAAUCAUCCCAGUUCGAGAAAUACGCCACUAACGGUCCUCGAAUCAUGGUUAAAUCAUCUUAGAGAGUAGAAUCAAGGGAGAAACAGAUUUGUACUCACAAUCUUGAUGAAUAAAAUCAUGUUUCUUCAUAUUUUA